CACAAUAUAAUCAUCUGGAAAACUUUUAAAAAAUUUCUGAGCCGCACCUCUGAUCAAUUAAAAUCAGAUACUGGGUGAGACUGGGCAUUCCUACUGUUUUUAAAGCUCCCUUAGGGAUUCUAACGUUCGCUGGGGUUGAGAGCAUUGAUUUAGAGUAAACCCUAUUAUACAGUGCAGUAAGAAAUAUAUAUUUAAAUUUUAAGUGAGAAGGCCAUUUUUUAUAAGAGUUUGAAGUCACCUUACAAACCUCAUGAUAUAUUCUGUCCAUUUUUCAAUGAUGACCCAAACCAGAAAUCAAAAGCACCUGAGAUCAUGCUGAGCCUGUGGGAUUAUGAGUCAGUGAUCAUACAGCAGCCUUUAAAAGAGGCAGUUCCUUGAUGUGUGCUGACCCUCUUUCCACGGUGGCCAUCUCUCCAGACCAAAGUGAAAUGUGACCUGCAGCUUUGAGAUGUCUCCUAGAAUGAAUAAUCUCCAGGUAUAUUCAAAACCAUUAAUUGCCUCUGAAGGGAGCAAAAUGAGGCUUCCCCAGAAUCCUGUUAUUUGAAGGAGAGAUACUGAGCUCAGUGUUUGCUGCUUCAGUGAGUUCCUAUGGCCAAGGUAUUCAUGUUGCGCUUGAACUAUGAAGUUUGAAAGGAAUAACUUGGGCAGAGAACUUUGUUGUAUUAGCGUGAAUGCACUGAAGGCCUUGUAAAGAAGGUUGUUUGAAUUACAUGUAUGUUAAACAGUUUCAGAAGAAGUGUUUCCACUUUAGGUUUUUGCGCAAUAAAACCCAAAUUGCAGUUUUGACUACUGAGCUGAGUCUUUUAACUUGCUUUUUUCAAAAAUAAUAAAUCCCCCUAAUGAUGACUAUGCAGCACUGUCACACCCUGACAGUCUAUCUCUUCAACCCCUAUGUCAUUAAAAGAUCUGA
rnacentral:lncRNA from 1 species